UAAAACAUGAGCAUUUUAUCUACGGGGUUUGAGCAAUCCGAACACACACAAAAAAUAAAUACGGGAUAACUCCUUUUAGGACAGCGCGCUAAACUAGGCAAAUGGCAAGCCAAACUAUGUCAAACAUGCAUGCAAGUUGCAAAUUACGAAUCUACGCGCAAAACUUCACAAGAUAUGUAUUUAAAUCAUUGUGAUCCGACACUCGGUUUAGAAACUACGGUCAUUUUAAUAUAUCUAUGUUCCUGAAAAUAACUAAUUCGAAAACUCUAAAAAAAAC
rnacentral:lncRNA from 1 species